UACAGAGGGUGCGAGCGUUGUUCGGAAUUACUGGGCGUAAAGCGUGUGUAGGCGGUUUGGUAAGUCGGAUGUGAAAGCCCCGGGCUCAACCCGGGAAGUGCACUCGAUACUGCCAAGCUAGAGUAUCGGAGAGGUUGGCGGAAUUCUCGGUGUAGAGGUGAAAUUCGUAGAUAUCGAGAGGAACACCGGUGGCGAAGGCGGCCAACUGGACGAAUACUGACGCUGAGACUCGAAAGCGUGGGGAGCAAACAGG
rnacentral:rRNA from 1 species